rnacentral:rRNA from 1 species
GUUAAUAAAAAUUAAGGUCCACCUAUUGGUGUGUAUCAUAUUUUUAUUUCCUUCCUUUUGAAUACACUCCAUCUAACAUCGUUAUUUGGAUCAAGUGUUUCAAAUCUUUUACUGUGAAGAAAUUAGAGUGUUCAAAGCAGGCGUAUUUUAGCCUUUGAAUAUAUUAGCAUGGGAUAAUGAAAUAGGACUUUAGUUCUACUUUCGUUGGUUUCUAGAGCUGAAGUA